GGGUGCGAUCAUACCAGCACUAGUGCACCAGAUCCCAUUAGAACUCCAUAGUUAAGCAUGCUUGGGUGAGAGUAGUACUGGGAUUGGUGACAUCCUGGGAAGUCCUCGUGUUACACCUU